GACGAACGCUGGCGGCGUGCUUAACACAUGCAAGUCGUACGGUAAGGCCCUUUCGGGGGUACACGAGUGGCGAACGGGUGAGUAACACGUGAGUAACCUGCCCACAACUUUGGGAUAACGCUAGGAAACUGGUGCUAAUACUGGAUAUGUGCUCCUGCUGCAUGGUGGGGGUUGGAAAGCUCCGGCGGUUGUGGAUGGACUCGCGGCCUAUCAGCUUGUUGGUGGGGUAGUGGCCUACCAAGGCGGCGACGGGUAGCCGGCCUGAGAGGGUGACCGGCCACAUUGGGACUGAGAUACGGCCCAGACGCCUACGGGAGGCAGCAGUGGGGAAUAUUGCACAAUGGGCGCAAGCCUGAUGCAGCAACGCCGCGUGCGGGAUGACGGCCUUCGGGUUGUAAACCGCUUUCAGCAGGGACGAAGCUUUUUGUGACGGUACCUGAAGAAGAAGCACCGGCUAACUACGUG
rnacentral:rRNA from 1 species